UUUUUGAGGGCGCUUUCCCUUGCCUGGCAUGUGUGCUGGUGAAGCUGGCGGUGUUGGGGAGUGUGGACUCACGGCUCAGUUCGCGGCAAUGCCUCACAGGAUAUCUUCCAGGCCUUGAAGUGUGCGGUAGGCCCCAGGCCUGUGCUCCCUCUGGGCUGAUUUCGGUGCCUGAAAGAAAGGCAUCGAUCAGUUCCCCUUGCCCUUCUGAAUCUGGC